UAGCUGCCUUCCAAGCAGUUGACCCGGGU
rnacentral:piRNA from 5 species